UGGGAACAGGCAACUGCCGUGCUAAGGACGCGGCAUACUCCAGCAAAUUAGAUUCGGACUUUCUAACCAAAAAAAAAAAGAUUCGGACUGUUGGAUAGUGAGAUGAGGUCUUUUAGAAUGGGGAAUAGUAUAUGGGUUACUAUAUAUUUUUUUGGGUAAAAAUGGGGUUACUAGUUGUUAGUCACUGCAUUGACAAGCCCGCUUCAUUCGAGACUCGUUCUCAAGC
rnacentral:lncRNA from 1 species